rnacentral:rRNA from 1 species
UACGAAGGGGGCUAGCGUUGUUCGGAAUUACUGGGCGUAAAGCGCACGUAGGCGGAAUGUUAAGUCAGGGGUGAAAUCCCGGGGCUCAACCCCGGAACUGCCUUUGAUACUGGCAUUCUCGAGUCCGGAAGAGGUGAGUGGAAUUCCGAGUGUAGAGGUGAAAUUCGUAGAUAUUCGGAGGAACACCAGUGGCGAAGGCGGCUCACUGGCCCGAUACUGACGCUGAGGCACGAAAGCGUGGGGAGCAAACAGG